AUUUACAGAUGAUCGCAGAAACACCGAUGAAUCGUUAUCGCUUUGCUUAGUGUUCUGCUUCACACAUGCAUGUUUGACAGUUAGCAGCUAGCCAGCCACCUAGCCAGGGAGAGGCUAUACCAAAGACAGUGCAUUAUGAAGAUCCCUGGGCACACUUGUAGGCGACCUCCGCUAGCAAAACUCAUACGUAGAAACACGUUAUCGGGUCGUCUCGCGCCGAACUGCGCAUAUGCAGUUCGUCAACUCAGAGGCACUCUUUCUAUAUAAAGUUGUUUUUGACGAAAAUGAAAACGUGUCAGUUUGUGACUCUCACAGGGUUGGAGUCAUAACAAGUUCAACUACAUAAGACAUUGGCUCGAAUCUAAAUUGUUCCUUUAGAUUUCGAGAAAAUUAAUGAAUAAGUAAGCUCCUAUCUUUGGCUAUACGGACACUCCUGGUGCCCAAACUGAUGACGUAUGUAAGUAUAUCGCGCAGCUGAGAGUCAGGUGUGGAAUUUUGCAAUUGUUUUAGAUGCUGCUUGAUUCUUGAGGUCAAGACCCGGGCCCUGUAUCAGAAAGAAAGUUUAACAAACUCUGAGUUUAAACCUGAACUCUGGGUUGACUAACUCUGAGCUGUCAAACUCAGAGUUUUCGGUUACAGAGCAGGUGAUAACAAAGAGUUAAAUCAAAGCUUGGUUAACUUGUGCAUGAGGAGAUAAAGAGCCAUCAUCAAUGGAACGCAGAUAACAUGAUUCAUCAUGGCAACAGGAGAAAAGGUCUCGAACCUCCUACUGCUCCCCAGUGGAGUUUGAAAUGUUAACGAACGCGUAUGCAGAAUAUGUGCAUAUAUUUAAGGAAAAAAAAUGCCGUAGCAUCAGCAAAAUAACGUGAGUUUGCGUGGCAGAAAAUUGCUGACCAAGUCAAUGCGCACAAAACCUACUUGGCAGACACUGAAGAUGAAAUAUACAAAUAUACUUCAAACAGGUGUGUACUUUCUUGGUAAACAUACCCAAAAGAAAAUCUGAGAUAUACACGAGCGUGAGGCAUCAGAGUAUAUCGCUCAAGCCUGACGUCAGUUCCACUUCGAGAGUAACCAGAGAACGUGCAACAUGACAGGUAGGCUACAGAUAGUCAUCUCACCUUCAGUCUAUUAACAGUAACAGGCCCUGAAAUCUCCUGCAACAAUCAUGUCAAAUGAUUGCGAUACUGCUGUGUUGAUGAUUCAUAUUUGUGCAUUUUGAAACCCUGUUGAUUUUUAAAAAAUGUAUAGUGUUGUCAAUGCUCCCUACCUUAAUUAAGAGAAGCCAUUUUACAUAAUCUGAACUCAGAACCUCACAGCACUGCUGAAGAGCAUGUACGUACGCGGUCAUGACUUGAUAGCUCAGCAAAAUUAUUAGUUUAUUAAUGACAUCACCUGUUUCUCUUCUAGACCAGCAAAUAAACUUUAAAUAUGGGAGGACCUGAAGAUUAUCAGUGUUAUUAUUCUUCUUCUACAUGAAUUCAUUUGAAUCAAUAACUAAAGUGAUUUAAUCUGUCAUAUGGUAAUCACCCCCAGGUUUCACCCGAAGUGUCGUGGCUGUGUACAGUGUGUUGAUAUGUUGAUUGUUUUACACCAUGUUCAGCUCAAUAUCAUUUGUGGCUACUUAUACAUGGACAAUUCUGUCAGCAAGAAUUGAAUGGUACGCCUUUAAGCUUUAAUGUCUUGUACCCUAUGGGGCAGCUUCAAUUCCUAGUUACAUAUUAAGCCUACAUUCAGCACCUCCCAUGAACUGCAGAAAUGAAGGAGUGGACAUUUUACUGGUAGACCUGGACUUCUUGGCCUUCUCUGUAUGUCUGCAUGACACUGGACAUCACAGAUGGAGGAAGAAAUGCACUUAUUCUCUGUACCAAGUCACAAAACUCAAGAGGAUCGGGUCCUUGGGAAGUUACUGUUCCCUGUCCUUGGUGGGAGAACUGUGUUCCAUUGUGGACUGUAGGGUUCUAAACUGCUGCCUUCUUUACCUGGACACUUCAAGGUCAAAGACCCACUGCAUCUUCUGUCGUUCUGCCCUUAACCCACUGUUAACUGCCUUGUUCAGUUGUCAUUGUAAAUAAGAAUUUGUUUUUAACUGACUUGCCUAGUUAAAUAAAGGUUCAAUCUUUACUGUUCCCCCAAGGCUUAAUAAGUCAGCCAGACAGCCCACCAUGAAUCAGGUCAUUUUCCUGUGUCAUUAUGAAGAAAAUCCUGAAAGCCUUAUCCCACUUUACAUAGCUGUUGCUUUGGUACAUUAAAGCUGAAAUCUGCCAAAGGAGCCACGGACUGCCCCAGGAGCAUUUGUUGUUUUUGUUUUGAGGAAAUGAGCACCCAGCAUUGUGGUGUAAAAAAGAAAUCAGCAUACAUACCCUGCUGUUCUAUCGCUCGUGCAAUGAUGUCCGAGAGAUUUUUGUUGGUGUUUGAAGUCUUUGUUGUAAUAUGUGUUCCACCAAUUAGGUGCCUUUUUGAGUAGUGUAACUUUACAAUAAACUUUUAGAGAAAAAAGCCCCAGUUUUACAGUAUUUCACCUAAUUUUAACAUUCUUCAAUAAAGGGCACACAUUCUUAAUUAUUUUACAACAUCAACAGAUACAAAUAAAAACCAUAGCAAGUGCCAAAUAAAGUGACUUCAUCUUAAAUCAGCCAUAAAUCCCCUUGUGGCGAGGUAAUGGAAGCUUGUGUGCAGCAGGAAAAGGCAAUUGAAUUCAAGCGUAAAAUAUUUCUAGCCUGUAUCUAUAGCUAACAGGGUUGACAUGUUAUGCUUGACCCUUGCUGUUUUCCACCACAAAACACCAGAUUAUUAUAAUUUUUUUAUUUAUUUUUUUUCAAAUUACAAAUAACUUAAUUCUAUAUCAGCAUUUUGACUUGUCCAUCAUUGUCUCACGUCAGAUCAGUGCUGAUGGCUGUCGCACUGACCUGAGACAAAGGGAGAUAUUACAAUGCUGAAUUUUGGCACGCCUAUUAUUUUUUUUAAAUGAGAUAUUUAUGCACAAUUUCUACUUAAAAUAUCAAAGGUCACUUUUAUCCUUUGACCAAUAUCGCAAAUGAACUCGGCAUUUUCACUGCUAUGGAUUGCAGCUUUAAGCAUAAAGUGAACCAAGUGUCAGUUUGAGUCUAAACAGAUUAGUCUUAGUUUUUCCAUUCUAUUACUGUUGUUGAGGAAUCAGUGUACAAAACAUUAGGAACACCUUGUCUUUCCAUAAGACUGACCAGGUGAAUCCGGGUGAAAUCUAUGAUCCCAUAUUGAUGUCACUAGUUAAAUCCACUUCAAUCAGUGUAGAUGAAUUGGACGAGACGGGUUGAAGAAGGAUUAAAAGAUCCAGUGCUGUGCCAUCUAGACUGCAAUUCCCCAUUCAACCUCUAGGUUUACUUUCUGUUCAACAAUGUUCUUUACUUCACUGCACUGUUGACUUCAUCUACUUUGUCUCUGUCUUUGAAAUGUCAGUGUUUUUUUCUUAUUAAAUCAUGGAAAUUGGAAAUGUACUCAUAUUUCUGUUAGGGAAUGGGGGUGGGCCUUAAAGUUAACCUUGAGGUUUGUUAGGGUACUUGAAGUGAGAAUGUAGGCCUGUCUAUUUCCUCUUUGUAACAUAACAUUCUGAAUAACAACAGAAAAUGUAAGUACUGUAGCAUUGACAUUAAAAAUUAUAAAAUCACGAUUUAAUAUAUUCAGUGUCUCUUUUAUUUGUGUUUCCUAAUAUAAAUGUAGGUAACUAUUUUAUGGACCACUUUGCUUCAGGGUCAUACUGUCGUC